GAUGAACGCUGGCGGCGUGCUUAACACAUGCAAGUCGAACGAAGCACUUUAUUUGAUUUCCUUCGGGACUGAUUAUUUUGUGACUGAGUGGCGGACGGGUGAGUAACGCGUGGGUAACCUGCCUUGUACAGGGGGAUAACAGUUGGAAACGGCUGCUAAUACCGCAUAAGCGCACAGCAUCGCAUGAUGCAGUGUGAAAAACUCCGGUGGUAUAAGAUGGACCCGCGUUGGAUUAGCUAGUUGGUGAGGUAACGGCCCACCAAGGCGACGAUCCAUAGCCGACCUGAUAGGGUGACCGGCCACAUUGGGACUGAGACACGGCCCAAACGCCUACGGGAGGCAGCAGUGGGGAAUAUUGCACAAUGGGCGAAAGCCUGAUGCAGGGACGCCGCGUGAGCGAAGAAGUAUUUCGGUACGUAAAGCUCUAUCAGCAGGGAAGAUAAUGACGUUACCUGACUAAGAAGCACCGGCUAAAUACGUG
rnacentral:rRNA from 1 species